rnacentral:tRNA from 1 species
UCCGGGUUGGGGUAGUGGCCUAUCCUUCAGCCUGUGCGGCUGAGACGCGUAGUUCGAUUCUCGCACCCGGAC